rnacentral:rRNA from 1 species
UACGAGGGGGGCAAAUGUUGUUCGGAAUCACUGGGCGUAAAGGGAGCGUAGGCGGUUUCUAAGUCAGGUGUUUAAUCCCGGGGCCCAACCCCGGACAGGCACUUGAAACUGGGAAUCUUGAAUAGUGGAGAGGUCAGUGGAAUUGGGGGUGUAGCGGUGGAAUGCGUAGAGAUCCCCAAGAACACCAGUUGCGAAGGCGGCUGACUGGACACAUAUUGACGCUGAGGCUCGAAAGCAUGGGGAGCAAACAGG